rnacentral:hammerhead_ribozyme from 1 species
AUCCAGCUGACAAGUCCCAAAUAAAACGAGACAUAUGUCCUGGAU